rnacentral:rRNA from 1 species
UGGGGGAAUUUUGGACAAUGGGCGAAAGCCUGAUCCAGCAAUGCCGCGUGUGUGAAGAAGGCCUUCGGGUUGUAAAGCACUUUUGUCCGGAAAGAAAUCCUUGGCUCUAAUACAGUCGGGGGAUGACGGUACCGGAAGAAUAAGCACCGGCUAACUACGUGCCAGCAGCCGCGGUAAUACGUAGGGUGCAAGCGUUAAUCGGAAUUACUGGGCGUAAAGCGUGCGCAGGCGGUUUGCUAAGACCGAUGUGAAAUCCCCGGGCUCAACCUGGGAACUGCAUUGGUGACUGGCAGGCUAGAGUAUGGCAGAGGGGGGUAGAAUUCCACGUGUAGCAGUGAAAUGCGUAGAGAUGUGGAGGAAUACCGAUGGCGAAGGCAGCCCCCUGGGCCAAUACUGACGCUCAUGCACGAAAGCGUGGGGAGCAAACAGGAUUAGAUACCCUGGUAGUCCACGCCCUAAACGAUGUCAACUAGUUGUUGGGGAUUCAUUUCCUUAGUAACGUAGCUAA